AAUUCCGGACCUCUGCUCUUGCUGUUCUUUGUGAUGUCAGCAGGGAGGGGUGCUCCCUGGCUGUGGAACUUCCCACACAUCCCAGCUUGACCCAGCUGACUUCCUCUGCACUGCCUGUCGCCCAGUUCAGUGGCAGCCCCAGCCUGGAGCACACACUUUGAGACCCGGGUUGGCACUCGGUGCCACCUCCCUGAGCCCUGGGUCUAAGGAGGGACAUGGACAUCCUGGCUUAACCCAGACCAGGCCUACCCUCAGCAUCAAGCAUUUGUCCCUUGGGGCAGAAAUAAGACAGGAGACUGCAAGAUGAGGGACCCUCUGCAUGCGGAAUCCAAGGUUUUCUCGAUACAUGUAUGCGAGGCUGCCGGCUGGCCUCUAGCUCCAACACAGCACGAUGAUCACGGACCUCUCCUCCGGCCUUCACCUCUACGAGCUGGAACUACAGGGGUGCCUAGUUUUAGACAGUGCUGGGGCCCGAACCCAGCGCUUUGUGUAAGCUACGGGCAGAGUGUUCUGUGGCUGAGCUGUGCCCGCAGCCUGUGCACACUGUCUAACCAGAAAGCAGCAGAGCACUUGACACCAUGGUGUGAAACGAUCAGGGACCGACCACCCACGCGGGCGAGUGGGUGCAUCAAGCGACAGAACAAACUGUUCUGAGGCCAGUGCGAGGCCGUGACGGAGAGCUGUUAAACCAACCAGUCAGAAUGAACCAGGCCCUGUUACCUCCUA